rnacentral:rRNA from 1 species
GAUGAACGCUGGCGGCGUGCCUAAUACAUGCAAGUCGAGCGAACAGACGAGGAGCUUGCUCCUCUGACGUUAGCGGCGGACGGGUGAGUAACACGUGGAUAACCUACCUAUAAGACUGGGAUAACUUCGAGAAACCGGAGCUAAUACCGGAUAAUAUAUUGAACCGCAUUGUUCAAUAGUAAAAGACGGUUUUGCUGUCACUUAUAGAUGGAUCCGCGCCGCAUUAGCUAGUUGGUAAGGUAACGGCUUACCAAGGCAACGAUGCGUAGCCGACCUGAGAGGGUGAUAGGCCACACUGGAACGGAGAAACGGCCAAGCCUCCUACGGGAGGCAGAAGUAGGGAAUUUUGCGCAAAGGGCGAAAGCCUGACGGAGCAACGCCGCGGGAGUGAUGAAGGUCUUGGGAUCGUAAAACUCUGUUAUUAGGGAAGAACAAAUGUGUAAGUAACUAUGCACGUCUUGACGGUACCUAACCAGAAAGCCACGGCUAACUACGUG